CAGAGCGAGAUUCUUUCUGAAAAAAAAAAAAGAAAAAAAAAAAAAGAAGUUACAUGUAGAAUUCUUAACUCAGUACUUGGCUUAUUGUGUGUGUGUGUGUGUGUGUGUGUGUGUGUGUGUGUGUGUGUGUGUGUAUGUGUUGUUAGCCCAAUAGCUAAAAGGAAAGUAUCACUUUUAUUGGGCGAGUAGCUAUGAAAGCUAAGCCUUAAUGGUGUCUAAGCUAAGAAGCAAAGCUAACAGAAACAAAAGGAAUGGGGUGGGAGGAAAACCAGAAAAGAAAUGGAGGGAAAAUGCACAUAUCUAUUAAAGCAAUGAGAAGCAGCAAGCUAAUAAUAUAAGUAUUAAUGGUGGUGGUGGUGAUGAUUUCUACAUGUAUUGCUCUGUUCCAGGGUCUAAUUUAAGCAUUUUCCAUAGAUAAGCCAUUUUACCUUCACAGGUACUUUGGGGGUCAUGUGGCUACACUGUCCAUUGCCUCCCCAAAUAGUACUCUCCUCUUACUAACAUGACUCUGCCACUGUUCAGUUUGCAAUACACCCAAUGUACCACUCAGUGUUGGACUGAGAAUACCCUGAUAACCUUACUCCUCUCUGCUGGACACUUGUUUCCUAGCCUUCCCAGUGGCCAGCAAUGACCAUGUGACUUGAAUUCUGGCCAGUGAGAUGCAAGGGGAAGUAUGCUGGGAAGCAGGGACUCUGGGAAAACAUUUGCAUCUUCAGGAUCAGACAUGAGAGGAGAGCUUGUUGGUUCUCCCUUUUUCUUCCUGACUGUGGGCCAUCUGGUGAAGAGCCAGAAGGCACAUCUGAAAGACAGACCUGGGAUCUUUGAUGACAGCAUUAAGCUGUAGAAGAACCUUGAGAUUGUUGCCUCUGACUUCUUUUUGAGAAUAAUAAAUGUACUUAUAAUAUAAAUGACUGUUACUGUGCUUACUCUAGAUUGCAGUUGCAAGCAUUCCUAUUUGAUACCGGAAGGUGCUGUUGUCAUCUUUGUGUAUUUAUUUCUCCAUUGUUUACAGAUAAGGAAACUGAGGAAUGGAGAGACGAAAUGUCUUGUCCAUGGUCAUCACAGCUGCUACCACGGAAGCCCUAGUCUGGCAGGAAAGAAGAGUCAUUAGGCAUCAUCUGGCAACUUGGCUUGGAGAAGUCAGAUCAGUCACCAAGAGUCUGGUGGGGCUGCAGCAAUGGCUAGAAAGAACCAGUGACAUGAUUGCCAGCCCAGCUUGAGCUCUGCUUCAGAUAAUUUAAGAUGUACCAGGUGGCACUUCAGGCUAGAAAACUCUGUGGUCUCCCAGCAACUUAAAGGAAGAUGUAAGUAUUACUCUGUUGGCUUUCAAAAAUCACUCAGAGAAAAUCUACUUUUAAAAUUAAGAACACAGAUGAUAUUCAAAGAAGAAAAACCACCCUGCUGUUUAAAGCAAAAACCAUUCCUCACUUUGGAAAAUUUUUUCUAUAAUUUUUACCUGACUACUGACCUUUGAUUUUGCAUAAAGGCAAAAAAUACAAGUCUCAAAACAUUGUUUUUUUGAAAAUCAAGUUCAAUGAAAGCAUUUACACUUUGAUUUUUUUCUGGUGACAAAUAUUACUUGAAAGUUGCAUAGCUUUCACUUAAUACUGUGUUGUACCUUGAGGUUUAAAAUGAAAUAUUUUCAAUUAAUGGAACUUACUGUCUAUUUAUACAAAAUACUGCAAUCAAUGGGAGAUGAACCAAUACCUACUUUUAAGAGGCUUUAUUUUUUUUGAAAACCAAAGAUUAAAACCUCUGCAAAAAUGAAAACAUGAAGUAGCAUACUGGGUAGUUCUAAUUAGCACAAGUGAAAAUAAAUAAAUACAUAAUAUAAGUAUGCAUGCUAGGUAUUUUAAAAAAUAUAAACCAAAUUCUCUCCAUCUGCUUUUACCCCACAGCACCUGCUAUUAUUUCCUUGUACUGAGUAGGCUGCUGUUAUCUUAGAGAAGCAAUGACAAGGCAGGCAACAGACAGGAGAGGGAUGUGAUAAUUUUAUGUGUCAGCUUGGCUUGGUCACUGUGCCCACACAUGUGGUCAAACAUUAUUCUGGUUGUUUCAGUGAAGGUGUUUUGGAUGAGGUAAAUAUUUAAAUCAAAGGAAUAUGGACAAAGUAGAUUGCCCUCUGCAAUGUGGGCAAGCCUUAUCCAAUCAGUUGAAGGCAUUACUAGGAAAAAAGACUGACCUUCCAUUAGCAACAGGGAAUUUUCCAGCAGGUUGCUUUUGGACGUGAACCGGAACAUCAGUUCUUCCUUGGUCUUCACCCUGAUGACCCACCCUGCAGAUUUUAAACUUGCCAGACUUCAUAAUCGUGUAAACCAAUUUCUUACAAUAAAUCUCUCUUCUUAUAGAUACACAUCCUAUUGUUUCUGUUUCUCUAGAGAACUCUGACUCAAACAAUGGGCCAAAUUUUUAACUUUUCAAUUAAAAAAGUCUAGACCCAGGUGUAAGAGAAAAGAUUUAGAAGAACGUAGCUCAGUAAUAACUAAGUCAAGCC
rnacentral:lncRNA from 1 species